rnacentral:rRNA from 1 species
AUUGAACGCUGGCGGCAGGCCUAACACAUGCAAGUCGAACGAGUGGCGGACGGGUGAGGAAUGUCUGGGAAACUGCCUGAUGGAGGGGGAUAACUACUGGAAGCGGUAGCUAAUACCGCAUACAAGCAGAUGUGCCCAUAUGGGACUAGCGAGUGGGUGGGGUAACGGCUCACCAAGGCGACGAGCCCUAGCUGGUCUGAGAGGAUGACCAGCCACACUGGAACUACGACACGGUGCCGACUCCCACGGGAGGCAGCAGUGGGGAAUAUUGCACAAUGGGCGCAAGCCUGAUGCAGCCAUGCCGCGUGUAUGAAGAAGGCCUUCGGGUUGUAAAGUACUUUCAGCGGGGAGGCGUUACCCGCAGAAGAAGCACCGGCUAACUCCGUGCCAGCAGCCGCGGUAAUAC